rnacentral:rRNA from 1 species
AUUGAACGCUGGCGGCAGGCUUAACACAUGCAAGUCGAGCGGAAACGGCAUAGACAAUCCCUUCGGGGUGCGCUUAUGGACGUCGAGCGGCGGACGGGUGAGUAAUGCCUGGGAAUCUGCCUGGUAGUGGGGGAUAACUUGCCGAAAGGUAAGCUAAUACCGCGUACGCCCUACGGGGGAAAGCAGGGGAUCUUCGGACCUUGCGCUAUCAGAUGAGCCCAGGCCGGAUUAGCUAGUUGGUGAGGUAAUGGCUCACCAAGGCGACGAUCCGUAGCUGGUCUGAGAGGAUGAUCAGCCACACCGGGACUGAGACACGGCCCGGACUCCUACGGGAGGCAGCAGUGGGGAAUAUUGGACAAUGGGGGGAACCACUGAUCCAGCCNGCCGCGUGUGUGAAGAAGGUCUUCGGAUUGUAAAGCACUUUAAGUUGGGAGGAAGAGCUCCGGGCUAAUACCCUGCGAGUUUNGACGUUACCACAGAAUAAGCNCCGNCUAACUUNGUGCCAGCAGCCGCGGUAAUACGAAGGGUGCGAGCGUUAAUCGGAAUUACUGGGCGUAAAGCGCGCGUAGGUGGUUUGUUAAGUUGGAAGUGAAAGCCCCGGGCUUAACCUGGGAAUUGCUUUCAAAACUGACGGGCUAGAGUACGGUAGAGGGUAGUGGAAUUUCCUGUGUAGCGGUGAAAUGCGUAGAUAUAGGAAGGAACAUCAGUGGCGAAGGCGACUGCCUGGACUGAUACUGACACUGAGGUGCGAAAGCGUGGGGAGCAAACAGGAUUAGAUACCCUGGUAGUCCACGCCGUAAACGAUGUCAACUAGUUGUUGGGGGUCUUGUACCUUUAGUAACGCAGCUAACGCAUUAAGUUGACCGCCUGGGGAGUACGGCCGCAAGGUUAAAACUCAAAUGAAUUGACGGGGGCCCGCACAAGCGGUGGAGCAUGUGGUUUANUCGAAGCACGCGAAAANCUUACUGGCUUGACAUGUAGCGACUUCCAAAAUGNAUGUGCUUCGGAACCUACCAGUGCUG